rnacentral:lncRNA from 1 species
CAGAUCUGACAUCGAAGACCACGUUCCUCAUAUUCAAAAGUGAUCUUCUUCCAAUGGCUCUAAUGGUAAUUUAUAACCUCUUUUGAUGUACCGCAGUUGUGUCAAGUUUGCUGACAUCCUCGUGCUGCAACUGGCUUGGUAUAUUUGGUUAAUCGUAACCAGCAAAGAGGAGGAGUCUCAUACAUGCCUGCUAUUCUUUAUGUGGUUGUAUGAAGUGUACCUUCAACUAAUCAAGCAACCUGGCAUUAGUAGUUUGUUUAAUUAAUAUCACUCUCAUCAAAGAGUAUGAUAUCAUUUAGCUAGCCUCCUUUCUUUGUAAGAGGGAUAGUGUAAAGGUUAGAAAUGGGUAACGGAAUGAGUGUUCUCAUUUUUACUGCCCCUGGAUUUAGGGAAUAUAUAUGCGUAUAUAUUGAUGCUCAUCGUUGCCAUGUCUGGCUCUUCAGGUGCAUGCUAGCUAGAAGUUCAGAUUUGUAAUCAACGAGUGUAAAAUUGAUUGUCUCUGGUUACUCUCGUGAUCUGUAUCUAGAGGGCAAGUCAGGUCUUGGAAUGCUGAGGUGAGACUUUCCAUGGCCUCUGUUUUUCUUGAUGGGUGGAUUACACAUUACUUCCUUGGAUGUUUAAAGAUUAUUAUAUCAUUGCUCCCCUUUUUAUCGGCAAGCAUUCUCUCAUCUUCUGGUAACUUGAGUAAGAUGCAACACACUAAUGCUUUCUUAGUCUGGUUUGUUGCAAAAAAUAAUUGAAGUGUGCAGACAGGCAGCAUGGAAACACUAAAGAGAAGUUUCAUACGUACUAAUAGCUGGAGUGAUUUGAUACCUGUAGUAACCGUCUUAGAAUAAAUAAGAUUCAGCUAUUUCUAAAGAUAUUAGACCAUAAGAUUAUUCUUAAGUAAAGAUGUUUCAUGCUUCUGUUUCUGCAAAAUUUCUAAGAGUAUAUGAUUUCAUUUUCCUUCUUUCCCAGUUAUAAAUUUAUUGGCAUCAAAGUAGAGCUUCAGGUUUAUGGUUCAGUAUAUCAUUGCAAAGUAGUUUAUGGCUCAGUAUAUCACUACAGGUUCCUUACACUCUCAAAUUUCAAUGUUUUUGUAUUUUUGUCGAUGGAACCAUGUUCUUUGACUAUAAAGUAGCAGAGAUUUCUUUUCUAUCAAUUCUAAUCCCUUUUUAUGCAUUGCUGGUUUGCUAUCAAACUCUCAAAAAUGGAAAAACAACUUUACUUUGGUUUUUUGAGAACCUUCCUGUAGAGUACCUCGACAGAGACAAAUAUGCGGUCAAGGAUAUAUUCGAUGGAUUUUCAUGCCAAACUUGGAGGAUAUUUUUGCAGGUUCGUUGCUUGCAUUAUUGUUUUCUUACUUUCUGUUCUUCAAGACAAUAUCUUCCUAGCAUUGCUCUAUAAAUUUAAAUCCAUCUUUUUGUUCUUUGGAUUAUCAUGGCGUACUCAUCCUGUGUAAUCCAAGCAAGGGCCUUCAUGUUUGCAGAUAGUUUGGUACUCUCGUGGUUAUUUUUGUGGUGAUUUGCCUUCUAUUCAUUACUUGGUAACCAUCUACUGCAGGUCAGCUAUUGUCCAGCUGCUAACCUUAUGGUGAGUGGUUGAUGGUGCAUGUUUUCCUAUUAGUUUCUCUCUAUGCCAAUGUCUGAAUUUUAUCUUGCCGUUUUGCAUUUCUACAGGCCUUUCAUUCUCAUUGUGAUUCCCCGAGAUGCGCUAUUAGUAGGCAUCCACUUUCUAAUAAAAAUUUGGAAGUCAACUUGAAAAGAGUCAUUUAUCUAGCUACAGCAACCUUCCUUGCUUUUGCAAAUAAUACUUUAUGGUUGACAAUAUAGUCUACACCUGCCAAACAUUUACACGUUAGUAUAACCAGAAAGUCAGAUGAUCGUUCCAUGUUGGUUAGCCGUGAUAAAUCAAAUUUCUAGAGUAGCAGAUGAUUCGUGUCAGGUUUCUUUUAGAGAUUGAAAUAUGUCUUGACUCCGAAAUAAGUAGUACAACGUCCAGUUCUGCAUAGGUGAAAGCAUACUGUGCAAAACCGGACAGCCUUCUAAAGCUCUGAAACUACUAUUUGUUUUUGUUUUUUGCGGUUAACUACUACUUGUUGUGUGAUCAGUACCCCCUUUUUAUACUCUGUAUAUGCUUUCUACUUACUAGGAAAAAAUGCGUGAGAACGAUGGCCUAGAGGAUGUGAAUUGCACUCGAAUAUAUGCAGGUUUCUUGCCAAACUAACUGCCACUAUUAUAUUUCAGGUGCUUCUUCUGUAACUUAGUGUAUUUUCCUGGCUCUUCUCAUUUCCUGGCGAACUUUUUAGUAUGUACAGUUGAAUCGUUGGAAGUUGUUUUCUACUAUCUAUAGAGGUUUUAUCCAAACUAUUAGCUGCCUGACUUGCUUUUUCGAAAUACACCGUCCUGAUAGACAUUUCCAUGGGAUGUUAGAAAAAUAUAUGUGAAUUUGCAUACAUUUUAUAAAUUCCUAUCUUUACUUAUCCAUGCUUCCCCAUAGAUAAAUAGCAGGUUCAACAAAAAUGAAUGUUCUCUUUUGUUCAAAUUUCAAGAAAGUGUGCUUCACGCUUCUCUUUCUGCAAUAUGUUUCGGAGUGUAUGAUUUGAUUUUCCUACUUUCCCGGUUACAAUACUGUGUACUUCAUUCCUAGCUUUGCUUGAAAUAGGUAUGCAGGUUAUCGAAAGCUCCAUUUUUCUCCAUUAUAUAGAUUAUAUAGCUUUGUGAUCAAAGGUAGGUUGUCACACAGGGGAUUUGGCUUGUGAAAGUUAUAUACAUCCAUGAGUCCCUAACAAAAUAAUCGCAGCUCAUGUUAAAAGGAUCAGGGAACCUCGACCAUUUUUCUGAAACAUGUCUCAGCUCAUGUUCCGACUUUCUACACUACUAUGUACUUCAUUCUUACCUUUGCUUUUGGAAGUUACAUUCUUUCUUUUCCCUCGUAAACUUGCUAACGAUAUUGGCAAAGUAAUCCCCACUUCAUAUUUCCCAUUGAAUGAAUAACUAAUUUAGAUUGUUCAAAAAUUGUAGGUCAAGAGGCAUGAAUAGGAGCAGGGCAUCACACUCCAGCUCUGAGAAGGAAAGGAUAUGAAGACAAAGAUAUAUGAGUGUUGUGCUCCGACGCAAAAACAUUUUGCGUGUAAUAAUGAACUGUAAUUUACCACAAUCUCUCUACAACAGGCCUACCUAUUACCAUCCGUUGCUUGCUUUUGUAUUAGGAAGUAUGACUCAGUCAUAUAUAUUUACAUUCACGUUGUUUAGUUAUGGUUCGUAUGCAUGAACAUACCUUUUUAACCGAGCUUGAAAAUUCUUAUGUGUAGUGAAAUUGCAUCUAGCACUUUAGACAUCAUAAUCAUAAAUGGUUGCUAAAGAGUUUGAAUUGGUAAAGUGGUUGCAUCCGCUGUUACAGGUCUGGAAUGUUCCUCCAUGCUAAAACCUAAUUUAAUUUUGAAAACACUUUGUGUUUGAAAUUGACAUUGUGCUGUUUGGUGUAAUGGGCCAUUUGUGUAACCAUGCAUGCAGAGAAAUCAGAAAU